UACGGCCAUAUCACUUUCAACUGGUUCUCAUCCGGCCACCGAAGUUAAGCAAAGUUGAGCCUGAAUAGUACGUAGAUGGGUGAUCGCUUGGGAAUACCAGACACUG